GCUCCCCUCAGCCACCAACUACAGCUGAACCAGGCAGGGAAGGGGACUGGAAGCACCUCAGGCACUGAUGGGAUGUGACAGACAUGGUCUGGGAAAAAAUCCAAUGCACUAGAUACCACUGCCAGUCAUCCUGAAACACAGACAUCGAGGGAAUUCAGCCCCUUGAGUAUCAUCAUGCAGACUCGUACGUGUUCUGCCUUCCUUGGCUGUCUCUUCCAGGGUAACAAGCUUCACUUUGGAAAGGGUAGCACAUUGCAUAGCAAGGACCUGAAAAUCCCAGCUUGGUGCAAACACGCCUCAGAGCCUGCAGAUGAGCCACACCAAUCACAGCACAUUCAGUCAGUGUUAACAAUCUUUCCAGUCCACUGCCUGUGCAAUAAACCUGGGGUGAGAUGAGA